UACGUAGGGAGCGAGCGUUGUCCGGAAUUACUGGGUGUAAAGGGAGCGUAGGCGGGGAUGCAAGUUGGGUGUUAAAUCUACCGGCUCAACUGGUAGUCGCACUCAAAACUGCAGCUCUUGAGUGAAGUAGAGGCAGGCGGAAUUCCUAGUGUAGCGGUGGAAUGCGCAGAUAUCGGGAAGAACACCGAUGGCGAAGGCAGCUCUCUGGGCCGUCACUGACGCUGAGGCGCGAAAGCUGGGGGAGCGAACAGG
rnacentral:rRNA from 1 species